CCGCCACUCACGGUCGCCCAGAUAUUAUCCUUUUCGUUCAAGAGCUAUGAUCGAAGAGGAGGUCGCCGGAACGCCGCCGAAUCGCCGAGAUCCCAGGUCUGAUGCCCAACAGCGCAACAUGUGAUGAAUGACGAGGUGAAAGGGUGCGCAUCGGAGGAGCUUGGAGAGGGAGCGGCACUACCGCCUGCCUCGUACUCCAAGACGGCUGCUGCCUCAUCCCGGACUCCGGUGCGCCUCCAUGCGCCUCUGUCAUCUGUCGCUGCGGGCACCACAUCCUGCGCCCGUUUUUUCAGAUUGGCUCAUCGAUCUGGGGCUUCCAGCAGUGGCAAGCCGUAUCCAAGACACGGCCAGAUGCCCAUAUAUGUGCUUAUUCCAUUCUUGUACUAUUUGAUCUGAACUGCAAUCAUUUGCAUGCUAUUUUCAGUCAUACGUGUACUGUAGAUGCAGAGUUAAUUUGGGAAGAGUCGCCUAAACAACGAUUAGUUUCUCACAUAUUUUGAACUAGUUUAACAAAAUUUGUAUUAAUAUCACAUGAUUAAAAGUUUAUGGAAGUUU